AAAAAGUCAAACUCUGGAUUUACGUGUCCAAUUUUAACCGUCCGUUUUAUAUGAAAUUUUUUUAUAAUUUGUAUUUUUAUUGUUGUUAGAUGAUAAAACAUGAUUAAUAAUUUAUAUGUGACUUGUCUUUUUAAUUUUUUUCAUAAUUUUUCUAAAUAAGAUAGACGGUUAAACGUUGGACAUGGAAAUCAAUGUUUGUAUUUGUU
rfam:Oryza sativa (indica cultivar-group) chromosome 1, whole genome shotgun sequence.